GAUGAACGCUGGCGGCGUGCCUAAUACAUGCAAGUCGAACGAAACUUCUUUAUCACCGAGUGCUUGCACUCACCGAUAAAGAGUUGAGUGGCGAACGGGUGAGUAACACGUGGGCAACCUGCCCAAAAGAGGGGGAUAACACUUGGAAACAGGUGCUAAUACCGCUUAACCAUAGUUACCGCAUGGUAACUAUGUAAAAGGUGGCUAUACUACCGCUUUUGGAUGGGCCCGCGGCGCAUUAGCUAGUUGGUAGGGUAAAGGCUUACCAAGGCAAUGAUGCGUAGCCGAAUUGAGAGGUUGAUCGGCCACAUUGGGACUGAGACACGGCCCAAACUCCUACGGGAGGCAGCAGUAGGGAAUCUUCCACAAUGGGCGAAAGCCUGAUGGAGCAACGCCGCGUGGGUGAAGAAGGUCUUCGGAUCGUAAAACCCUGUUGUUAGAGAAGAAAGUGCGUGAGAGUAACUGUUCACGUUUCGACGGUAUCUAACCAGAAAGCCACUGCUAACUACGUG
rnacentral:rRNA from 1 species